AUGCACGCUGGCGGCGUGCCUAAUCCAUGCCAGUCGAACGAACAGACGAGGAACUUGCUCCUCUGACGUUAGCGGCGGACGGGUGAGUAACACGUGGCUAACCUACCUAUAAGACUGGGAUAACUUCGGGAAACCGGAGCUAAUACCGGAUAAUAUAUUGCACCGCCUGGUUCCAUAGUGAAAGACGGUUUUGCUGUCACUUAUAGGUGGAUCCGCGCCGCAUUAGCUAGUUGGUAAGGUAACGGCGUACCAAGGCAACGAUGCGUAGCCGACCUGAGAGGGUGAUCGGCCACACUGGAACUGAGACACGGUCCAGACUCCUACGGGAGGCAGCAGUAGGGAAUCUUCCGCAAUGGGCGAAAGCCUGACGGAGCAACGCCGCGUGAGUGAUGAAGGUCUUCGGAUCGUAAAACUCUGUUAUUAGGGAAGAACAAAUGUGUAAGUAACUAUGCACGUCUUGACGGUACCUAAUCAGAAAGCCACGGCUAACUACGUG
rnacentral:rRNA from 1 species